UAGUCCACGCCCUAAACUAUGCUCACUCGAUAUUAGCGAUAUACAGUUAGUGUCCAAGAGAAAUCGUUAAGUGAGCCACCUGGGAAGUACGUUCGCAAGAAUGAAACUCAAAGGAAUUGACGGGGGUCCGCACAAGCGGAGGAGCAUGUGGUUUAAUUCGAUGAUACGCGAGGAACCUUACCAGGGCUUAAAUGUAGGUUGCAUUAGCUAGAGAUAGCUAUUUCUUCGAACUACUUACAAGGUGCUGCAUGGUUGUCGUCAGCUCGUGCCGUGAGGUGUCAGGUUAAGUCCUAUAACGAGCGCAACCCCUGUCGUUAGUUGCCAGCAAGUAAAGUUGGGGACUCUAGCGAGACUGCCGGUGCAAACCGAGAGGAAGGUGGGGAUGACGUCAAAUCAUCACGGCCCUACGUCCUGGGCUACACACGUGCUACAAUGGUAUGGACAGAGAGCAGCCACUGCGUGAGCAGGAGCGAAUCUACAAACCAUAUCAC
rnacentral:rRNA from 1 species